rnacentral:misc_RNA from 1 species
UUGAUUGAUUUGUUUUUUUUUCUCAGACGACAUGAUUCAAUUCAGAGUAUAGGUUUUGGCCUCUGGCGGCCCGCAAGCUGGGACAAAGUCUCGGCGCAACUGCAUGAAAUGCAAACUGCACGAGGCCGCCCCAACCCGCACAGACCCUCACGGAUCUCAACCGCCAAAGCAACAUGACUGUAAUGACAAGGGUGGAGACCGUGAAUGCUCACAGAACUCGGUAAUGAUCCUUCCGCAGGUUCACCUACGGAAA